rnacentral:rRNA from 1 species
AGGACGAACGCUGGCGGCGUGCUUAACACAUGCAAGUCGAGGGAGUGGCGGGGCAACUCGCCACGACCGGCGAACGGGUGCGUAACACGUGAGCGACCUACCCUGGUGUGGGGGAUAGCCGGCCCAACGGCCGGGUAAUACCGCAUGCGCUUUGGCUUCUUCCUGGAAGCUCAAGCAAAGUCUUCGGACGCACUGGGAGGGCUCGCGGCCUAUCAGCUCGUUGGCGGGGUAAUGGCCCACCAAGGCGACGACGGGUAGCUGGUCUGAGAGGAUGGCCAGCCACAUUGGGACUGAGAGACGGCCCAGACUCCUACGGGAGGCAGCAGUGGGAAUCUUGCGCAAUGGGCGAAAGCCUGAACGCAGCGACGCCGCGUGCGGAGGACGGCCUCGGUCGUAACGACGUGUCGUCCGGACGAACGAAGCCCUUCGUACGGACGUCGACGGUACGGUCGGAGGAAGACACGGCAACUCCG